rnacentral:tRNA from 1 species
UCCCUGGUGGCUCAGAGGUUAAAGCGUCUGCCUGCAAUGCAGGGGACCUGGGUUCGAUCCCUGGGUCGGGAA